UACGAGAGGCCCAAACGUUAUUCGGAUUUACUGGGCUUAAAGAGUUCGUAGGCGGCGCAGAAAGUAGGGUGUGAAAGCCCUCGGCUCAACCGAGGAAUUGCGCCCUAAACUACUGUGCUCGAGGAAGCUAGAGGUGAGCAGAACAGAUGGUGGAGCGGUGAAAUGCGUAGAUAUCAGGAGGAACACCGGUGGUGCAAACGGCUUUCUGGACCGUAACUGACGCUGAGACACGAAAGCGUGGGGAGCAAACAGG
rnacentral:rRNA from 1 species